rnacentral:tRNA from 1 species
GAGGGUAUAGCUCAGUGGUAGAGUGCAUGCCUAGCAUGCACAAGGCCCUGGGUUCGAUCCCCAGUACCUCA